AAAAAUACAAAAAAAAC
rnacentral:sRNA from 1 species